GUUUGUAUGCAGCUUUAUUAACUCAAUGACAUUUUUUUUUUUUUACAUUGUUUGCAAACUGAUAUGUGACAUAUAUUAAUGCAAAAAUAAGCAAACAGGCAAGCCCUCCCAAAAUAUUAACUUUUUUUUUUAUAAUGAAUCUUAAGGUUUAUAUAAAAGCUUUAUAAGACAAAUCAGUAUAGGCAAUUAUAGGCUAGCCCAAAUAUCAAGACGCUAUAGCUGGUUUCCCUGUAGGUAACUACAGUAGCAAUAGAAAUAAUUUGUACGGAAGUAAUGCAUAAGAGAUGUAUUUUUGCUGAAACAAACCCACUGAUGAAGAAAUAAACAAAUGUCACAAAUAGUCUUCUUGAAUCAAUUUAAUGCCUUGAGCAGUCACCUUUUUUUGUAUCACACCAGUUUUUAAAAACCCUCUGGAACAAGUAAACACUGUCCAAAACAAAAAUAUAUAAUUUUUUUGAAAAUGUUCAUACAAAGAUAUUCAAAAGAAAUAGACAAAGAUAGUUAAAAAAAAAUUUGAGAUACUUAUGAUAAAUUAAAGCCCAUUGUUCAUAGACCAUGGUUCACCAAUGAGAAAAAAGGUCCUGUCAAUCAUCUCCGCUCUCUUUUGUAGUCUUCUUCAGCUUGUUCUUCAGCUCAUUCAUCAUCAGGGGAUUUCCAAAUCUGGUGGAUAUAUAUUGAACAAAGGUGUUAUAAUAAAAAGAGAGUGACAUUCAUAUAGGGAAUAUCUCCAUCUAAAAGUGAUUUCAAACAAGAAAUUAAGAGAAUCUUGUAGAAAAUAGUUUCAAUUGAUUCCCUACCCUGGAUGUCUAGGCGGUGUCCAUUUAGUUUUGCGCUCCUCUUGCUUGUUUUGCGUCUCUUCUGUCUUGGGAGAUUCAUCCCUUACAUCUUGCUCUAUCUCAGAUUUCUGUUGAAUAUAUGACAUUGCCAAAUCAAAUUAAGAGUCAGAAUAAUAAACAUACUACUAGACCUAUUCAAAAGGUUGAGCUCAAAAAAGUGCAAGUAUCUGAUUGGUACCUGAGGG
rnacentral:lncRNA from 1 species